GCUUAACGCGAAGAACCUUACCAAGGCUUGACAUGCAUCUCUAAGCGCGUGAAAGCGCGUGACUCUUCGGAGGAUUUGCACAGGUGCUGCAUGGCCGUCGUCAGCUCGUGUCGUGAGAUGUUGGGUUAAGUCCCGCAACGAGCGCAACCCCUGUGAACAGUUGCCAGCGAGUGAAGUCGGGGACUCUGUUCAGACUCGCCCAGAUCAACUGGGAGGAAGGUGGGGACGACGUCAGGUCAGUAUGGCCCUUACGCCUUGGGCUGCACACGUACUACAAUGUCCAGCACAAUGAGAACCGAGACCGCGAGGUGGAGGGAAUCUGCAAAACUGGGCUCAGUUCGGAUUGGAGGCUGCAACUCGCCUCCAUGAAACCGGAAUCGCUAGUAAUGGCGCAUCAGCUACGGCGCCGUGAAUACGUUCCCGGGUCUUGUACACACCG
rnacentral:rRNA from 1 species